rnacentral:rRNA from 1 species
AUUGAACGCUGGCGGCAGGCUUAACACAUGCAAGUCGAACGAGUGGCGGACGGGUGCGUAAUGCUUGGGAAUAUAGCUUAUGGAGGGGGAUAACUACGGGAAACUGUAGCUAAUACCGCGUAACAUAGGAUGAGCCAAAGUGUGAUGAGGUAGUUGGUGAGGUAAAGGCUCACCAAGCCGACGAGCUCUAGCUGGUCUGAGAGGAUGAACAUCCACACUGGGACUGUGACACGGCCCAGACUCCUCCGGGAGGCAGCAGUGGGGAAUAUUGCGCAAUGGGGGCAACCUGACGCAGCCAUGCCGCGUGAAUGAAGAAGGCCUUCGGGUUGUAAAGUUCUUUCUGUAGCGAGGCGUUAACUACAGAAGAAGCACCGGCUAACUCCGUGCCAGCCGCCGCGGUAAUAC